rnacentral:lncRNA from 1 species
AGAGGCGUGGGCGGUGAACCCGCGGUUCUGGGGAUCCGCGCCGGGCCGGGCCGCGGAGGUUGGGUAAAGAGUGGUGUUUGAAGUGUUUCAGGUGUGCCUGCAGGCUGCUGCUGUGGACGCGCGUGCUGGAAUCCGGGGCAAGGUCCUGAGUCUGCUACUGCUUUCCAAGGUGCGGCCGAAAUGUGUGAGUACAGGUGUGCACGCUUACUGAGAGGCAUGUGCUUACGUGCGUGUGUGUGCAGGUGUGCACGCUCAUCGAGAGGGCACAUUCACACGGUGCGGCGCAGUGAAGGGUAUAUGCAGUAUGCCGUUGUGCUGUUCUUCACACUCUGUGUGCUCGCACAGUUUUGCAAUAACGGGGAAGGUGAGGGGUUUCACAACUACCUUAAAGGAGAAAAUACAGAUUCUAGAAUUCCCCGGGACUCUCACUCCGUGGGUCUGUAGCGGGUCUUAAGGAAUCAUUUUCUCAGGGAAUACGGGUGGUCUGCAGAUUCUCGUGAGAUACAAAUGCUAUUUGUCAAGUAAGAAAGUAAAAGUCGAGGUGUCCUGACCAGCCCAUCUCCUCCUCCACAGGCAGCAUCUGUUCAAAUUGGUAUAGGUCUUUCCAGACAACCUUAUACAUAGAUACGUUACAUACACACAAGUACUUUUUCCACUCUCCUAAUUUGGAGCCUAUGCUUACUGAGUUUCUAUAACGUCUUUUGAUGUAUAUAUUUAUAGAUUGAACCUCAUUCUCUUUAACUUCUGGGUAAUAUUCCAUUAAAGGGUGUUUGAAAGUUGUUUUUUUGUUGUUGUUUUUUUUGUAAUUAGACCAUGUCUCAUUUGCCUUUGUUUUGUUUGUUGUGGAAGUAACUCAUACCAAUGGUUAAAAAUCCAAACAGAAGGGAGAAACAUUAAAAGUCUCUGUGUCCACCCUACCUACUCACCUAUCACCUGCGUAUUGUAGACCCAACUACAAUUUCUUUCUAGGUCUUCUGGUUCUUUUCAUUAUAGCUGUAAAUGAUGUACGUCCUGACCCGUCAACCACGAACAGUAUCUUUUCAAAGGGUAAGAAUAUAUUUUCUCUUUCAACUCCUAAGUUUAAAAAUUACAUUACUUUUAGUUCCAACGGGGGAAAAUUUUGUGACUUUAUCUGAAUCAUUAUUUAUAAAAGUACCUCUUACCUGCUGGCUCCCCGCAAUGAGCGAUGAGGAAAUUGGCGUACUUAUAUUCUCUCACUCCCCCAUGUUGUUAGAGUUUUAUCUUUAUACUAUGAAAAUCUCCUCUGCAAGGGUAAUUGCACCUUGCAAACGUUGUAGCGGAUUGAAAAGCAAUCAGCAGCAUUCACAAUAUUAGGAGACCCUCUGUAACAGCUCUGUCGGCAGAGCCCCUAUGCCCUUCAAACAGAACCUUUGCUGCAGCUGGGCCAGCCUGCAGCUGUCGGCGCCCGAGAUGAUUUGCCUGCCAUGGCGUUUUCCAACCACCAGAGGCCGCUCUGCCCGCGUUUGGGGCGGACCUGAAGAGCCCCGGAAUGUGUAUCUCCCCAGAGCACCUGCAACAAUGCGUGGGAACCCCUGGGACAGGACGUGCGUCCAAGGUCUCGGAAGGAGCGGGAUAGUUGAGACAGGCGGAGGAUGGAAAAGGCCUUCGUGACCUGAGAGAUUGUGCAGAAGACACUAAUGUGCUGGGAAGGAGAAGUCUCUGCUUCCCCCAUUGGAAUCGUCAUCACACAUUGAAGUUAAGUUCGUUCAUUAUUUAAACAAGGAUUUGCUGAUAACAGGUUAGUGGCUUAACGUGUGGACUUUUUGUUUUUUUAAUGGCCAUUCCCACUGCAUAUGGAGGGUCCCCUGGCCAGGGAUUGAAUCCAAGCCCCAGCUGCGACCUAAGCCACAGCUGCAGCAACGCCUGAUCCUUUACCCAACUUCCCCAGGUGGGGGAUUGAACCCGAGCCCCGCAGUGACCAGAGCUGCUGCAGUCAGAUUCUUCACCCACUGCAUCACAGCGGGAACUCCUAAAAAGUUUGGACAUUUGAGCUGCCUUACAUGAGUUCAAAUCCUCUUACUAGCUGUGUUGAUUGUAUCAAGUUCCUUAGUCUCUUUGUGCCUCAAUUUCCCAUAUUGUAAACAGGCAAAAGUGUCUGUGUGUGUGUGGAUAUGUGUAGUCAGAAAGAUUGUUAGAUAAUAUUGAAUGUCUGAAACACAGUGCAAGAAUAUUAACUAUUAUCAGUAUACAAUAAUUACUGUAAUAGUAAUGUUAUACUGUCAUUAAUAUAUCAAUCUAUUAAGUAUUAUUAACUUAAUAUUAUUUAUGUUCUUUCUAUACAGCCUCACCAUAUUUUCUUCGUGAUACUCUGAGCUAGUUUUUGUGCUGUUUUUUUUUAAAAAAAACUCCAUUUUACAGAUAAGACAACUAAUGCUCAGAAAAGUUAGGUGGCUUCCCCACCGUCACACAGCAGCUAAGAUGAACCAUCCAAGUCUACUUGGUUUGCACCAUAUUUUGUGGCGGUGCUCCUGCUGGUGUUUCUAUAAUGUAGCUUAAUUCAGUCAAAUAGCAUGAAAGAAAUUGAAAAAAGUGAUUGAAAACGAGCAGGGCACGGGAGAGUUCAUUCUGCUUCCCAAAGGCACAUGCAGAGCCAGCAGGGGGCAGCACGCACCAGGACAACCAGAGUACCCUGGAGGCGUUUGUCGGGUGUCCUUUAGCUAGGGUCCCUCUGAGCCUUUUCAGGAUUAAAUUUAUUUAUUUAUUGUCUUUUUCAUAUGGAAGUUCCCAGGCUAGGGGUCUAACCAGAGCUGCAGCCACCGACCUACACCAGAGCCACAGCAAUGCAGAAUCCAAGCCUCGUCUGCAACCUUCACCACAGCUCACGGCAACGCCGGAUCCUUAACCCACUGAGUGAGGCCAGGGAUCGAACGUGCAACCUCAUCGUUCCUAGUCAGAUUCGUUAACCACUGAGCCAGGACGGGAACUCCCAGGGUUAGAUUUAGAUCACGCCAUUUGGGCAGGAAUACACAUGAGUGACAGGUCCUCAGCUCUUCAAAGUGCACGGGUGUCAGUUUGUUCCAAUAUUGGAGGUGCAAAUUCCGCUCACUUGAUGCAGCGGUCUGAAUAUUUGUCUUUCCCACAAAAUUCAUAGGUUGCAAUCCUCACGUCCAGUGUGAUGGUUGUAGGAGGUGGGCCUUUGGCAGGCGAUUAGGCCGAGAGGCGGUGCCCUUGUGAUGGGAUCUUUGUAAGAGUCCUCGCUGAGCUCUCCAGCUCUCUUGACCCCUGCGGGAACACAGGGAAAAGUCUGCAGUUGGCACCCCCUGAGGAGGGUCCUCCCCAGGUCCUGACCAUGCAGCCACCCUCAUCUUGGAUGUCCAGCCACCAGAGCUGUGAGAAAGUCAGUGUCCGUUGUUCACAAGCCACCCAAUCUAUGGGACUUUGUUCCAGCAGGCUGAACUGACCGGGAUGCUUGGUUAAGGCCGUUGGUCAGGUUUCUCCAUUGUAAAGUUAUUGUUUUCCUCUUGUACCUAAUAAGCAUUUUAUGAGACGACAUAGUGGAGAUGUCUUCUCUCUCACUGGCGCUUGCAUCCAGCGUGGUCCCCACCCACGCUGAACCGGGAGCACGGUGCAACCAGUGGGAUGUUGGGGAGAUGGUGAAGUUUGACUUGGAGGCUGGUUCCCAAGGAGAGAACUGUCUCCUGCCUUACUCUCUGGGAUCACAGGCUCUAGAGAAGCCAAAGUCAUGCCUUCAAAAUGGAUGAGACCUGUAAUCUAAGAUUUUAAAAUAAAUCAGGGCGAAAAUUAAAUUAAAGGGAAACCUCACCAAAAUAGAAUGGGGAGGCCAGAAGGGGGCGCUCUCAUACACGUGCCUCUCAAGAUCAGGGCGGAGCCCAACAGGAAGAGCUGUACCUUGCAUCUCCCUCAGGGAUUGCUGUUUGAGUAUCACCAGCAGGAGGAAGAAAGGUUUUUUGACUGUCACAACUCAGCCAAUGAAAAGCCAUCUUUACGUCUAAGUACUAAUUUCCUAGAAGGGACUUUUUGUUUCUUACAGCCUCCCAACGUCCCCUUUUCCUCUAGCAAAGCAUUUUCUCUCCUUUCUUCUACUGCACAUGUCUGUGGUUCACCAUCGUCGCCUGUCCCAAAAGGUGAUUAUGUGGUUCUCUUGGAUAAAUCUGUUUUGCUGGUAAAAAAUAACCAGCUGUUUUAUUGUUUUAGGUUUAAAGCAGACAUAAAAAGUAACCUAAGAUAUGGAAAGCAAUAUAUGUCAGAUUUAGAAAAGCUCAGGAGGUGAAAAACUCAGGAAAGGAUUAAAAGUUGUAUGUGUCAAAGUAAUUCAAGAACAAAUUAACAAAACUGUAGGUCACAGAGGCAGCUUGCGUCCAGUGUUCCUGAGGCUGUGGCGUAGGCAGGCAGCCGUAGCUCUGAUUAUGCGUUAAGAGAAAUAAAGGAAAGAAGUAAGAAGAUAUUAAAAGAUAUUAUUGGGGCCAUAAUAAUGGGUACUCAAAGAUAUCCACCUACUAAUCCCCAGAACCUGUGUGCAUGUUUGCUUACACAGCAAAAGAGACUUUGCAGGUGUGGUUAAAUUAAGGCUCUCAAAACAGGGAGAUUAUCCUAGAUCAUCUGGGUGGGAUUAAUCUAGUCACGCAGGUCCUUAAAAGGAGACAAUUGUUUCUGGCUGUGAUGGGAAGUCAGAAGAGGCCAGGUGUGUAUGUGUUAGGAAGAAACCUAUUCCGGGAUUUCCCUUCAUGGAUCAGCUGUUAAGAACCUGAUUAGGAUCCGUGAGGUUGCGGGUUCGAUCCCUGGCCUCACUGUGGGUCAAGGGAGGAUCCAGCAUCGCAGAGAGCUGCGGUGUAGGUCACAGAUGAGGCUCAGAUUCUGUGUUGCUGUGGCUGUGGUGUAGGUCAGCAGCUGUAGCUCCGAUUCGACCCCUAGCCCGGGAACCUCCAUAUGUCACAGGUGCAGUCCUAAAAAGAAAAAAAAAAAGAAACCUGUUUCAGCUGAAAUAGAAUGAUGAUCCCAAAGAGAGUCUAGAAUAAUAAUAAUAACUCCCUAUAUACUGAUAUGCCUGGCCAUUUGGAAAUAGCAAUUAGUUUUGUUUUUUAACGUAAUUAUUUUGGAGAGCCUAAGAAGAAAUGAUAAAAGACUACUGAAUUCCUAACUCUCUGAAAAGAAAACAUUAUAUAAGGAAUAACA